AUUGAACGCUGGCGGCAUGCCUUACACAUGCAAGUCGAACGGUAACAGGUCUUCGGAUGCUGACGAGUGGCGAACGGGUGAGUAAUGCAUCGGAACGUGCCCAGUCGUGGGGGAUAACUGCUCGAAAGAGCAGCUAAUACCGCAUACGAUCUAUGGAUGAAAGCGGGGGACCGUAAGGACUCGCGCGAUUGGAGCGGCCGAUGUCAGAUUAGGUAGUUGGUGGGGUAAAGGCUCACCAAGCCAACGAUCUGUAGCUGGUCUGAGAGGACGACCAGCCACACUGGGACUGAGACACGGCCCAGACUCCUACGGGAGGCAGCAGUGGGGAAUUUUGGACAAUGGGGGCAACCCUGAUCCAGCAAUGCCGCGUGCAGGAAGAAGGCCUUCGGGUUGUAAACUGCUUUUGUACGGAACGAAACGGUCUGGGUUAAUACCCUGGGCUAAUGACGGUACCGUAAGAAUAAGCACCGGCUAACUACGUGCCAGCCGCCGCCGUAA
rnacentral:rRNA from 1 species